rnacentral:rRNA from 1 species
AUUGAACGCUGGCGGCAUGCCUUACACAUGCAAGUCGAACGGCAGCACGGGUGCUAGCACCUGGUGGCGAGUGGCGAACGGGUGAGUAAUACAUCGGAACAUGUCCUGUAGUGGGGGAUAGCCCGGCGAAAGCCGGAUUAAUACCGCAUACGAUCUACGGAUGAAAGCGGGGGACCUUCGGGCCUCGCGCUAUAGGGUUGGCCGAUGGCUGAUUAGCUAGUUGGUGGGGUAAAGGCCUACCAAGGCGACGAUCAGUAGCUGGUCUGAGAGGACGACCAGCCACACUGGGACUGAGACACGGCCCAGACUCCUACGGGAGGCAGCAGUGGGGAAUUUUGGACAAUGGGCGAAAGCCUGAUCCAGCAAUGCCGCGUGUGUGAAGAAGGCCUUCGGGUUGUAAAGCACUUUUGUCCGGAAAGAAAUCCUUGGCCCUAAUACGGUCGGGGGAUGACGGUACCGGAAGAAUAAGCACCGGCUAACUACGUG